rnacentral:rRNA from 1 species
AACGAACGCUGGCGGCAUGCCUAACACAUGCAAGUCGAACGAGACCUUCGGGUCUAGUGGCGCACGGGUGCGUAACGCGUGGGAAUCUACCCUUGGGUUCGGAAUAACUCAGAGAAAUUUGAGCUAAUACCGGAUGAUGUCGAAAGACCAAAGAUUUAUCGCCCAAGGAUGAGCCCGCGUAGGAUUAGCUAGUUGGUGAGGUAAAGGCUCACCGGAAGCAACGAUCCUUAGCUGGUCUGAGAGGAUGAUCAGCCACACUGGGACUGAGACACGGCCCAGACUCCUACGGGAGGCAGCAGUGGGGAAUAUUGGACAAUGGGCGAAGGCCUGAUCCAGCAAUGCCGCGUGAGUGAUGAAGGCCUUAGGG